rnacentral:rRNA from 1 species
UACGAAGGGGGCUAGCGUUGUUCGGAAUUACUGGGCGUAAAGCGUGCGCAGGCGGCUUCUCAAGUCAGGGGUGAAAGCCCAGAGCUCAACUCUGGAAUUGCCUUUGAGACUGAGAGGCUUGAGUACGGGAGAGGUGAGUGGAAUUCCCAGUGUAGCGGUGAAAUGCGUAGAUAUUGGGAGGAACACCAGUGGCGAAGGCGGCUCACUGGACCGGAACUGACGCUGAGGCGCGAAAGCGUGGGUAGCAAACAGG